rnacentral:lncRNA from 1 species
UCCCAUCUCUCUGCACAAUAUUAAUGGGAAUGACGAAACGGCUUGUUUUUAUUGACGAACGGAGGUUUCAAGCUUGUUAGAGUGGUCUGAAGAUGCUCAUCCAAUAAACUUGGACUCCCAAAUCGCUUCGAAUUUGGAAACUGGUCAGGCUGCAAAGAUUUAUAAAACUGGAUCAGAUUUCCUUCAGACCAGACUGGGCCAGAGAAAAAGUUUGUAGAGCUCUCCCAAGCUCUACAAACAGCCUGUCCCACUUGCCACUGAUAGGAGACCCAACAUAGCCUACGGGUCGUAGCGUCAGGCUACUGUAGGAGUGAGAAGGAUCAGGUCCAAGAACCCGCUAGAAGUGGCAUUCUGACGUUGUCCACCAAACCAACCACAACGUUGCUUAUUUCCCCUGCCUGACCUGCCUUUGCCUCCCAAGUGGAGGGCAAGGAGAACACACACCACAGCUGCUCACCUGCCCAGGUGUUUAUGAUGUCACCCCGGGUCACUCACCACUUGGCAGAGACCAGGAUGAGAAGACAGGAAGUGGAGGAGCAUGAUCCAGGGUAGUUGGCUUCUCCGCUUCUCUUUCUGCUGCCUGGUGGUUUGGGCCACCCUGGUCUGCGUCCUGGGCGAGCGGGACAGGAUCCUUUCUCAGGAUCAGGAUGCACCCUACAAGCAGGGUGUAACCGAGGGGCUGGUUCAGAGGCUCCUCUUGUGGCUACUAAGCCUGGCUGGUUUCUACGGGCUGAUCCGUCUCCUGGAGGACAUCACCGUGGAGCAGCCACCCCUUCCAGGAGGGCAGGAGAAAGCUGAGGUUGCGAACUGUGACAUGUGCUUGAUCCAUAGGCCUUCCCUUCCCAGACGGGGCUGCCCCAUGAAAGCCAGUCUGAAGUCCUUGGAGCGCAUGGAGCAGGACCUGGUGGCUUUGCUCUUCAAGCUUCGCAAGCACAAGUCCUCCUUGGCCAGAGGCUGGUCUUCGGACGACCAGGCAACCACGACUGGGCAGGGCGGCCUUCCCAACGAUGUGGUGAUCUACACGAUCCAGGACGAGACCUAGACCAUGUUUGGGAAAGGCCAACGCCAGAAGGAGAACUCCAGGAGGAACGUGGGAAGCAUGGGGAAUAAAAAUGUUAUGAGUGAAUUUAGCA